UUAUAUUUUUGGUUUGGAGCGAGCAGAGCGAGCAGUCGCACCACGCUUCGCUCCACAGGCCAUACAAACGCUCCACACCGCGUGGCCGCUGCCACUCUAACCUGGUGGUCCCAGCGCGCACGACCCACGUGGAGUUCCAGGUCUCCAGCAGCCUCUGGAACUGCCGGUCUGCGGCCAACAAGGCAGAGUUCAUCUCAGCCUAUGCUACCCUCCAGUCCCUAGACUUCCUGGCGCUGACGGAAACAUGGAUCACCACAGAUAACACUGCUACUCCUACUGCUCUCUCCUCGUCUGACUACGUGUUCUCGCAUACCCCUAGAGCAUCGAGCCAGCGGGGUGGUGGCACUGGAAUCCUCAUCUCUCCCAAGUGGACAUUCUCUCUUUCUCCCCUGACCCAUCUGUCUAUCUCCUCAUUUGAAUUCCAUGCUGUCACAGUUACCAGCCCUUUCAAGCUUAACAUCCUUAUCAUUUAUCGCCCUCCAGGUUCCCUUGGAGAGUUCAUCAAUGAGCUUGACGCCUUGAUAAGUUCCUUUCCUGAGGAUGGCUCACCUCUCACAGUUCUGGACCAUUUCCGGAGACCUUCUCCCCUACCUCACCUCGCUCAUCAACGCAUCCUUGACCGCUGGCUACGUCCCUUCCGUCUUCAAGAGAGCGAGAGUUGCACCCCUUCUGAAAAAAACCUACACUCGACCCCUCCGAUGUCAACAAC
rnacentral:lncRNA from 1 species